CUCACCUCCUUGCUGUGGCCACACUUCUUCUUGCGGCAGUGGUGAGACCUGAUGGGAAGGCGUGCAUAGCACCUGCAUCAGGAGAUGGAACAGGAGCCCGGAGGGUGGGCUCCUGGAUGGUGUAGCCGCCCCUGCUGCCGCCGCGGAGGCGGAGCACCAGGUGCAGCGUCGACUCCUUCUGGAUGUUGUAGUCGGCCAGGGUGCGGCCGUCAUCCAGCUGCUUCCCGGCGAAGAUGAGGCGCUGCUGGUCCGGCGGGAUACCUCAUACCUUCCUUGUCCUGGAUCUUGGCCUUGACGUUGUCGAUGGUGUCGCUGCUCUCCACCUCCAGCGUGAUCGUCUUCCCCGUCAGCGUCUUCACGAAGAUCUGCAUCUUGCCG
rnacentral:sRNA from 1 species